CCUACGGUGCGCUGCAGUGAGGAAUAUUGGUCAAUGGGAGAGAUCCUGAACCCGCCAAGCCGCGUGAGGGAAGACGGCCCUAUGGGUUGUAAACCUCUUUUGUCGGAGAACAAAACCCGGGACGUGUCCCGGACUGCGUGUAUCCGAAGAAAAAGCAUCGGCUAACUCCGUGCCAGCCGCCGCGGUAAUACGGAGGAUGCGAGCGUUAUCCGGAUUUAUUGGGUGUAAAGGGUGCGUAGGCGGUCCGUUAAGUCAGCGGUAAAAUUGCGGGGCUCAACCCCGUCGAGCCGUUGACACUGGCAGACGUGAGUUGGCGAGAAGUACGCGGAAUGCGCGGUGUAGCGGUGAAAUGCAUAGAUAUCGCGCAGAACCCCGAUUGCGAAGGCAGCCUGCCAAGCCAUGACUGACGCUGAUGCACGAAAGCGUGGGGAUCAAACAGGAUUAGAUACCCCUGUAGUC
rnacentral:rRNA from 1 species